rnacentral:rRNA from 1 species
AUUGAACGCUGGCGGCAUGCUUUACACAUGCAAGUCGAACGGCAGCGCGGGGGCAACCCUGGCGGCGAGUGGCGAACGGGUGAGUAAUGUAUCGGAACGUAUCCUGUAAUGGGGGAUAACCAGUCGAAAGAUUGGGUAAUACCGCAUACGCACGAGAGUGGAAAGUAGGGGAUCGCAAGACCUUACGUUAUAGGAGCGGCCGAUAUCUGAUUAGCUAGUUGGUGGGGUAAAGGCCUACCAAGGCGACGAUCAGUAGCUGGUCUGAGAGGACGACCAGCCACACUGGGACUGAGACACUGCCCAGACACCUACGGGUGGCUGCAGUCGAGGAUCUUCGGCAAUGGGCGCAAGCCUGACCGAGCGACGCCGCGUGUGGGAUGAAGGCCUUCGGGUUGUAAACCACUGUCAGAGGGAUGAAUGCGUAGGGUUCUCUCCUACGUUUGACAUAGCCUCAGAGGAAGUACGGGCUAAGUUCGUGCCAGCAGCCGAC